rnacentral:rRNA from 1 species
UACGUAGGGUCCAAGCGUUAAUCGGAAUUACUGGGCGUAAAGCGUGCGCAGGCGGUUGUGUAAGCUAGAUGUGAAAUCCCCGGGCUUAACCUGGGAAUGGCAUUUGGGACUGCACGGCUAGAGUACGGCAGAGGAGACUAGAAUUCCUGGUGUAGCAGUGAAAUGCGUAGAUAUCAGGAGGAAUACCGAUGGCGAAGGCAGGUCUCUGGGUCGAUACUGACGCUCAUGCACGAAAGCGUGGGGAGCAAACAGG